rnacentral:snoRNA from 1 species
AGGCCGGAUGAUGAUCUGUUUCAUAGACCUGUUCUGAUUUCCAUGAGGACAUUUAACAUGCACCACUAUCUGACGGCCU